rnacentral:tRNA from 1 species
GCAGUGAUGGCUCAGCGGCAGAAUUCCCGCCUUUCAUGCAGGAGACCCAGGUUUGAUUUCUGGCUAAUGCA